rnacentral:lncRNA from 1 species
AUUUUCCCCAAUUGUAGUGAUCAUUUUCAAAUCUGUCAGUCCGGGCUUCCAGCCAGGAUGGGGGUUCUCUAAUAUUGCCACUGAUUUUUUGGUAUCCAAGGCUGGUAGAUGGCAUUCACAGACCACUCACCUCUCCCAGCUGCAGCCACCCAGCUCCUCCCUGGUCCACCAGCAUCCUGGGAAUCACCUGGAACCUAAUGGAGAAGUGGACAGCACUCCCAGCCCCACCAACUUCCCGGCCUUGUGGAUAUCUCCGGAUAAAAGGGAACUCCCUUUCAUGUGAUUGAGGACACGCUACUCUUCCUUGGAUACAUCACAGUUGCUAAUUGCCUCUUAGCGCUUAGCCCUCCACUUUCAAAUCGGGAAGGUACUCCAUGGAUUCAGCUGCCUGGGAAUCCCUCUUGUCCAUGAGUAUGACUAUGUCAUGGGUUCUCAAGUUGGACUGAGAAUCUUCUGUGGAUUUUAUAAGAAACGCAGAUCCCUGGGCUUAAUCCCAGGCCUACUGAAUAAGUACUGCUUAUGAAUGGAGCCCGGUGAUCUGCAUUUUAACAAGCUCUCCAGCCAUAUCUGAUGCAUGGAAACGUCUGAGACCCAUUGGCUUACGAGGCACGUUGCUUUCUAAAGAAUAGGUUAUUCUUUUUAUUUGAAAUAAGUGAUAAACACAUGUGAUACUGAAAUAUUAAAAUUGUUCCAAAUGAAAUGCAGAAUCAUUAAUCAUUGGUAAUUUAUCCCACUACUAUCCCUUUCAUAGGGACAGCCACUGUUACCAGUUUCUGGUAAUGCUUUGCCCAGUUUUAAGAUUACAAUCACAACUUUCAUUUUGUUUUACACUUGCCUGGCAUUCUUUUUCUCAUCUUUAUAGUUUUGAGCAUUCUAUGUCAUUUUUUUGGGUAGUGGGUGGUUUGGGAGCAUCUUGUAUAUACAUUAUAAUUGGGUUUUGCUUUGAAACCCAAUGAGUCUUUCUACGUUUCACAGACUAACCCAUUUUAUCUUUAUUUAUAUGGUAGGUAUUUCUUAGUUUUAUAAGCAUAUUUUAUUCAAUGUUUUCUGGUUUUUAUUUUUAAUAAUUUUCUUUUUGUAGUCCAUUUUGUUAGCAUAGGGUUUCUUUUUGAGAAAAUGAAAGUUUUGCAUUUUAAUGUUUUAUAGCAGUGGUAAGGGGGUAAAUGUUUAACAACCUGCUCUUCAGAAAAAUGUAUAUAGC